GUGACCUGCGGAGGGAUCAUUACACAAACAAAAAUAGGAAGGCCUGGCUUCGCGGCCGGCUGAAAUAUUUUUUCACCCAUGUCUUUUGCGCACUUGUUGUUUCCUGGGCGGGUUCGCCCGCCACCAGGACCAAACCAUAAACCUUUUUUUUCAUGCAGUCAAACUCAGCGUCAGUAAAACAAUUAAAUUAUUACAACUUUCAACAACGGAUCUCUUGGUUCUGGCAUCGAUGAAGAACGCAGCGAAAUGCGAUACGUAGUGUGAAUUGCAGAAUUCAGUGAAUCAUCGAAUCUUUGAACGCACAUUGCGCCCUUUGGUAUUCCAAAGGGCAUGCCUGUUCGAGCGUCAUUUGUACCUUCAAGCUUUGCUUGGUGUUGGGUGUCUUGUCUCUCUCUUUUUACGGGGAGACUCGCCUUAAAACGAUUGGCAGCCGGCCUACUGGUUUCGGAGCGCAGCACAUAAUUUUGCGCUUUGUGCCGGGAGAAAAGGACGGCAAUCCAUCAAGUCUAUUCAAUAUUCAACUUUUGACCUCGGAUCAGGUAGGGAUACCCGCUGAACUUAAGCAUAUCAAUAAGCGGAGGAAAAGAAACCAACAGGGAUUGCCCUAGUAACGGCGAGUGAAGCGGCAACAGCUCAAAUUUGAAAUCUGGCUCUUUUAGAGUCCGAGUUGUAAUUUGCAGAGGGCGCUUUGGCUUUGGCAGCGGUCCAAGUUCCUUGGAACAGGACGUCACAGAGGGUGAGAAUCCCGUACGUGGUCGCUAGCUAUUGCCGUGUAAAGCCCCUUCGACGAGUCGAGUUGUUUGGGAAUGCAGCUCUAAAUGGGAGGUAAAUUUCUUCUAAAGCUAAAUAUUGGCCAGAGACCGAUAGCGCACAAGUAGAGUGAUCGAAAGAUGAAAAGCACUUUGGAAAGAGAGUCAAACAGCACGUGAAAUUGUUGAAAGGGAAGCGCUUGCAGCCAGACUUGCUUGCAGUUGCUCAUCCGGGCUUUUGCCCGGUGCACUCUUCUGCAGGCAGGCCAGCAUCAGUUUGGGCGGUGGGAUAAAGGUCUCUGUCACGUACCUCUCUUCGGGGAGGCCUUAUAGGGGAGACGACAUACCACCAGCCUAGACUGAGGUCCGC
rnacentral:rRNA from 1 species